rnacentral:lncRNA from 1 species
GUGCCAGUCUAACAAAAACCAACUCCCGCUCCCUCCGCAUUUGAUUGCAGAAGCAGAUCGUCCUCCUCUUGCUGCGUUAGUAAGGUACAUAAUAAUACAAGUAUUGCUAACUUGAUGAAGGAAUCAUGUAUACCUUUAGGAGGCACGAGAAAUAUGUCACACCACGCCGCGCGUCCGUGUACCCGCGUAUCCUCGGUCUCGUGCUCGUGCUGCUCCGCGCGGCUGCGCAGCCCCCGCCGGCGGGCGAGGCGCGGCUGCUGCUCGAGAUCAAGCGCGCGUGGGGCGACCCGACCGUGCUCGCGGGGUGGAACGGCACGGCCGCGGCCGCGCUCUGCAGCUGGCCGCACGUCGGGUGCGACGCGUCCGGGCGCGUCGUGAACCUCACCCUCGCGAACGCUCACGUCGCGGGGCCCUUCCCUGACGCCGUCGGCAACCUCUCCGGCCUCACGUACCUCGACGUCUCCAACAACAGCAUCAGGUCCGUGUUCCCGAGCGCGCUGUACCGCUGCGCUUCGCUUCAGUACCUCAACCUCUCCCAGAACUAAUUCGGCGGUGUGCUCCCGGCAGAAAUCGGCAGCGGCCUCGCCGCGAGCUUGACCACGCUGGACCUCGACGGCAACGAGUUCAACGGCACCAUCCCGGCGUCGCUCUCCCGGCUCCGGAACCUCGAGUAUCUCGCGCUGAACAGCAACCGCUUCACCGGUAUCAUCCCAGCGGAGCUCGGCGAGCUCGCGAGCCUGCAGGUGCUGUAUCUGGAUAACAACCCGUUCAACGCAGGCCAGCUGCCGGCGUCGUUCAAGAAUCUGACCAACCUGGUCAGCCUCACGGCGUCGCAGUGCAAUCUCGUCGGGGACUUCCCGAACUUUCUUUGGAGCCUGAAGAAGCUGCAACAAUUGUAUCUGUACACGAACAACAUCACCGGCGACAUGGUCGUUGAUGGAUUUGCGGCGAGAAGCUUGACAGAAAUCGACGUCUCAGAAAACAAAAUUAGUGGAGUCAUCCCUGAAGUGUUUGGGGGAUUGGAGAACCUCACACUCUUGAACCUCUUCAUGAACAACUUCUCCGGCGAGGUACCAGCCAGCAUCGGCCAGUUGCCGUUACUGAGGAUAUUGAGACUCCACACCAACAGGCUCAACGGCACGCUCCCACCGGAGCUCGGAAAGCAGUCGCCGGGUUUGUAUUAUGUUGAGGUUGACUACAAUGAGUUCACCGGCGUGAUCCCGGAAGGGCUGUGCACCGGAGGCAACUUACAGUACCUCACCGCCAAGAGCAACCGAUUGAACGGCUCCAUCCCGGCAGGCCUUGCCAACUGCACCACUCUGGAAACCCUGUCGCUGGACAAUAACCAGCUCUCCAGCGACGUGCCAGAGGCUCUCUGGACGGCAACGCAGCUUUACUUCGUGACACUACAGGGUAACCAGCUCACCGGAAGUCUUCCUGCGACGAUUCUUCUCAACAUUUCGACGUUACGCAUUGGGAACAACCAAUUCAGUGGCAACAUUCCGGCUGCAGUAGCUGCUCUCCAGGUGUUCACCGCCGAGAACAACCGGUUUUCUGGUGCGAUACCGGCGAGUCUUGGCGACGGCAUGCCGCUGCUGCAAAGACUCAGCUUGUCCGGGAACCAACUGUCCGGCGGGAUCCCGAGAAGCGUUGCUAAGCUAAGCCAGCUGACGCAAAUGGACCUGAGCAGGAAUCAGCUCACCGGCGGCAUACCGGCAGAGCUCGGCGCCAUGCCGGUGUUAAGUGUCCUUGACCUGUCGUCGAACAAGCUCUCCGGCAACGUACCGCAGGCGCUUGCGAAGCCACAACUCACCUCCCUGAACCUGUCCUCGAACCAGCUGAGCGGUCAGGUCCCGGCCGGGUUCGCCACAGCGGUCUACGACACCAGCUUCCUCGACAACCCCGGCCUCUGCACCGCCGCUGCGGGAUCCGGCUACCUCACUGGCGUCCGCUCCUGCGCCGGCGGAUCACAAGACGGCGGUUCCUCCGGAGGCGUCUCGCACGCGCUCCGCACAGGCCUCCUCGUCGCCGGCGCCUCGCUCCUCCUCAUCGCCUCGGCGUUUGCCUUCUUCGUCGUCCGCGACGUCAAGAAACGGCGGCGCGUCGCGGAGCAAGACGACUGGAAGAUCACACCUUUCGUCAAAGAUCUGGGAUUCGGUGAGGCACCCAUACUCCGGGGCCUGACGGAGGAGAACCUCGUCGGGCGCGGGGGAUCGGGGCGCGUGUACCGCGUCGCCUACACUAACCGGCUUAACGGCAGAGCCGGCGCGGUGGCCGUGAAACAAAUACGGACCGCCGGGAAGCUCGACCAGAAGCUGGAACGCGAGUUCGCGUCGGAGGCUGGCAUCCUCGGCAGCCUCCGGCACAACAACAUCGUCAGGCUCUUGUGUUGCCUCUCCAACGCCGAGUCCAAGCUCCUCGUGUACGACUACAUGGACAACGGCGGCCUGGACAGGUGGCUCCACGGCGACGCCCUCGUCGCUGGCGGGCGCCCGAUGGCGAGGGCGCGGUCCGCGCGGCGCGAGCCGCUGGACUGGCCGGCGAGGCUCGGGGUGGCCGUCGGCGCCGCGCAGGGGCUGUGUUACAUGCACCACGAAUGCGAGCCACCCAUCGUUCACCGCGACGUCAAGGCGAGCAACAUCCUGCUGGACUCGGAGUUCCGGGCCAAGAUCGCCGACUUCGGGCUGGCCACGAUGCUGCUACAGGCCGGGGCGCCCGAGACGAUGUCCGCCGUCGCCGGAUCGUUCGGCUACAUGGCUCCUGGUAAGGAUCCGAACUUGCUAUUUACAGUAGAUUUCUGUCCCAUUUUUCCAGAUUCAGACAUUAAGUAACUAGGGAGCAUCUACUGUAGCUGUAGCAUAUGUCACGAGUUAUCGUAUUGCCGGACCUUCGAUUUGGCGUUUGAUGCUUAUCUGCAGAGUGUGCUUACACCAAGAAGGUGAGCGAGAAGGUUGACGUCUACAGCUUUGGCGUCGUCCUCCUGGAGCUCACCACCGGCAAGGAGGCCAACUACGGCGGCGAGCACGGCAGCCUGGCGGAAUGGGCACGACACCACUACCAGUCAGGAGGGAGCAUCCCCGACGCCACAGACAAGAGCAUCAGAUACGCAGGGUACUCCGACGACAUCGAGGUUGUUUUCAGGCUAGGCGUGCUCUGCACCGCAGAGAUGCCAUCGUCGCGGCCAACCAUGAACGACGUGCUGCAGAUCUUGGUCAAGUGCAGCGAGCGGACGCACCAGAAGGGCAAGACGGAGCGUGGCCCGGAGUAUGAGGCUGCCCCGCUACUUUCCAACGGCUCGGGGAUUGAGAUUGAAGAGAAGAUCGACUUCGACCGCAUUGUCUGAAGAAAGGAACCGACCACUGCACAGGCCAGUAAACAACCUUCGACAGCAUCAGAGAACGGCUGUAGUGAUACUUCAGUUAGCACAUUUUAGCAGAGUGCAGCGAGGGCUAUAGUUGUCACAAGACCUUGACCCUGCACUAGGUCGUUAGUACAGGCAUGUUAUAGAUCAGGGCUUGUGGCGAACCAAACCGUUUCUGUGUUUUGACACUGCAAACUUGUAUUAUUAAAUCACAAACACAUUAGACUAGUCAGACAGAAGAACCAGCAAAUGUGAUGAUUUCCUUUUGAAACAAAGGCAGAAGAUGGAGUUCUGCAUGUCUAUUCAAAAAUCAGUACGAUUGCAUGAAUUCAUCCACCUGUUUAUUGUAAAAGCACUGGUUGGUUGGGAUAUGGCAUCAUAAUACAAACUUGGAGUGAUAAGGAAAAUGAAGCUGGAAGGAAGGGCUACUGCCCCAAGAACUCCAUUGGAGCUAGUAGAGGAGGAGGAGGAGGAGGAGAAGGUAGGGAAAAGAAGAAGAAGAAAAGAUGAAGAGGUGGUGGAGAUGGGGAAGGAAGAAGCUAGCCCCCUAUAUUUGUACUUUGUCUCAGCCAUUGAGGGGGUGUUUGGAUAUUAGGUCCUAAACUUUAGACAUGUCACAUCGGAUGUUCGGAUGCUAAUUAGGAGAACUAAACAUGAGCUAAUUAUAAAACUACUUGCAGAAUCCCUGGGCUAAUUCGCGAGACAAAUCUAUUAAGGCUAAUUAAUCCAUCAUUAGUAAAUGGUUAUUGUAGCACCAUAUUGUCAAAUCAUGGACUAAUUAGGUUUAAUAGAUUCGUCUCACAAAUUAGACUUCAUCUGUGUAAUUAGUUUUAUAAUUAGACUAUGUUUAAUACUUCUAAUCAGUAUCCAAACAUCCGAGGUGACAGAUGUUAAAGUUUAUCACGUGGGAGCCAGCCCCUGAAUGUGCUAUAUUUCGAACUCAUUGACGCCAUGCGGUUUUUUUUUAUUUUUAACCUUUUUUAUUUUUAUUUUUAAAAAUAACCUCUGCCGAACUUUAUUUGCGGCAGAUGACCCUUUGCUCGCGCCAGACCGCCUGGCGCGGCAGGAAGCCUCUGCCGUGCCACAUGCAUUGGUGUGGCGGACCCCUGCCACGCUGGCGCGGCGACUUGCCGCACCAGGUGGGCACUGACGUGGGCGGGCGCUCGCCGCGCCAGCCCGCCUAGCACGGGCAGCGCCUCACCUAGACACGCACGCUGGCUCCUUCCUUCCUCCCUCCCUCCUUUCUUCUUCCUCCAGAACACCCGUGCCCUAGGGUAUGUUUUGGACUUGAGAGCAAGGGGGCAGCCUCAGUGGUGGAUACUCCGUCCCAAAGCAUACUCUUGUCAUAUAAGGACUGGUUCAUUGGGCGAGUCUUUCUUGUGAACCGUACAACCAUACAUGCCAAAAAAGUACAACCUUCGGAAGUACCUACCUAUGUGAGGCCUUGGUUCAAACCCCGCUAGCUGAACCUAGUCAACCAUCCCAAGGGGUCAAGGUGGGCAACGGGUAUACUGGAGCAGGACCUUCGCAUAGUCCCAGGUCCGGUCAGCACGGGUCGACUGUUGAGAGGGCCGGAGGCCCUGAUAAUUUAUUUAUGCAUGCCUUUCCUGGGAUAGUAUCAGCAGGCCCCUAUUUAGACCCCAGUAUAUCCGUGGAUGGACCUAAGGAAUGCCGUCCAGAGAUGGACACGGGCAGGUACAGAUCUCGUAGGCUAGUAAGUACUAUGUAUGGGCUAGCCGGACAUAUGGGGAAAGUGUACACCUCUGCGCAGAGUAUAAUCUAUUCGAAUAGCCGAGGCUUACGGUCACGAGCCUACUAAGUCAAAGCCCCCAUGAUUACUCUUUCAAGCUCUUUGGGUGGGAUUAGUGUGUUAAAAUUAUUGGAUGAAGGUCGAAUGACUGGAUUCCAGGACUAAAACGUGGGGAUUGGUACGGGAGGUAGUUUUCCCCUCUAUAACCAUCACUCUAAAAUAACAUGCUUUUAGAAGAGUAUUUUCAAUUCUCACCUUUUAAUUCACCUUGCAUAUGAGAGAUGCUUUAGGCUUAGGAUUAUACCUAUAAACCAUGUUCCUUAUCCACCUCCUAAAUUGCAUAUAAUUACUUGGUAAAUGUUGGGACUUGCUGAGUACCAACCAUAAGUAUACGCAACCUUACUUUCAUCAUGCAGGUGUAGAUCUCCAGAUCUCCAGGUGUUAUAAACCAUCUUGUUAGUGGAUAGGCACCACUUCGCUACAUUAAGGUGAAAAACUUUUCUUAUUAAAUUAGACACCUUUUCUUUCUUAAAUACUAAGUUGUGAUGAUAAUGGUAUUAGCCUACUAAUCCAGGGACUAAUACAUGUGAUCAGCGGGACUCCCAAAGAGAGGUCCCACAGGCUGUCUCCAGUGUGACCAGGAUAUAGAAGAGGUCAUUGGCAGCUAGGUAGCAGGCGGUGGUGUGCGGGUUAUGUGCGGGACGGCGGGACGCCACCGGCCGCGAUCCGUGGAAGACAACAGGUGGCCUCUGGAGGCAGUGGGGGAGUCACUUCGAGCUCCUCAGCAUGUCCAGGUUAGGGUGGCAAAGGAUGGUGGCAGCGGAUUUGGCGGCACGAGCUGCCGGAGAUGGUGGAGGAUGGCGGCGCAGGGGCGAGUAGAGGACGGGGUGCGAUGGUGAUUGAGGGUUGCGACUAGUGGUGGCAAGAGCCGUCGGAGCUACAGGAGGAAAUGCUCACGGGAGCAUAGGUUGCGCGCGCUCCUGGACCGCCAUCACCGAAGGCGACAUUAGUGAUUUUGUCGCCUUCAGUGAUAUAUAGACGCGACCCCCGAGAAUGGAAAAGGGUAUUUGGAGGGCUCCGGGAACCUAGCAGAGAACUUGCCGGAGUGCUUUUUUUUUUACUUGGUCCUAUGGAGUUGUUCUAAGCCAACAACUAUUACUCUAUUAGCAAUUUUAAGAUAACACUGAAAUAUGGUAGUCUCCUACUUUAUGUGCAGUGUCGUUGCGUCCAUAAGUGUGAGGUCUACUUUAUAGCGGACCUGAGCCUCAACCGCUCCGGCCCACGGGCACAAAAAAACUCUAAUUGCCGUGUUUGACGGAGCACUGUGGGAGUUCUGCUGGGCUGUCCCGUUUCUGGUGACCGUUAGAUUAGCGAACUGAUUCCGAACCCGUUGAUUAGCGAUGCGGUCAAGAGCAAAAAUCGAUUCCUCUAACUGCCAACAAACCAUAUUAUUCACUGGUAGUUUGAAUCCAAACUCCAAAGUCUUCCAGAGCACCAGCCAAGGUCGGCACGUACUACUAAUCAAAGGCAAUUCGAGAGCUUCGCAGCAAGCACCUCCUGCACGGUCUGCUGCCAAAGUGUGCACACCAAAUAAAAGUCUUCUUUUAGACCAGUAGUACCAAAUAAACGUCCAAAACCCACGCAGCAAACCGAACGGGGCUCGUGCCAGUCUAACAAAAACUGGGGACUCCCGCUCCCUCCGCAUUUGAUUGCAGAAGCAGAUCGUCCUCCUCUUGCUGCGUCCACCUCGCGCCGUGGCGGCCGUGCUGUGCAGGCGUGCACAACCAACGCCACGCCGCGCGUCCGUGUACCCACGUAUCCUCGGUCUCGUGCUCGUGCUGCUCCGCGCGGCUGCGCAGCCCCCGCCGGCGGGCGAGGCGCGGCUGCUGCUCGAGAUCAAGCGCGCGUGGGGCGACCCGCCCGUGCUCGCGGGGUGGAACGCCACGGCCGCGGCCGCGCCCUGCAGCUGGCCGCACGUCGGGUGCGACGCGUCCGGGCGCGUCGUGAACCUCACUCAUAUUUGGCAAUCAAAAUGCGAAAUACUUCUGGAUCAAAGACACCCUUUUCAUCAUUUAGAGACUUUGGCUUCGAUGUUGCUAUGAAUCUAUCCCUAUCCUCUUACGGAAUGGCAUGACAGUGAAUCGCAAUAUACCUGCUGAGGUGAGUUGUACCUUUUCCAGGUUCAUAGGAUAAAUGAAACUUACAGUAUCUGCAUAUUGCCUUCUCCUUGCCAUCAAUCACUUCGGUAUCAACAAAUUUCCAAACUUUAGCCCUCUUCCUAGAUGAUCGACUUGACUGGUCAGUUACCAAACUAUCACGGCUGUCUACCUCAAGCACAACUUCUUGUCCUAGAUCCAUAUCACCUAGAUGACACAAAUGCAGUUUCAAUAUAAGAUAACAAAAGGAAUCACAAUUGUUACAUAAUAAAAAUUAGAACUACUGAACAUAACAUUCAGAUUGCCAUCACUUUUUUACUAGGCAUAUUGCGACAUGGAGAAUAUAUCACCAGAAUAGAGAAUCACUAGUUUACUACUCCCUCCGUUCCAAAUUGUAGGUCGUUUUGGCUUUUCUAGAUUCAUAGAUACUAUUAUGCAUCUAGAUAUAGUGUAUGUCUAGAUGCAUAAUAAUAUCUAUAAAUCUAAAAGAGCUAAAACGACCUAUAAUUUGGAACGGAGGGAGUACAUCGCUACAAGCCCUAAACAUCCCAUACAUGCCACUCAAUCACACACGUAUUCCUGCAGGCAAGAAAAAUAGAACUGCUUUCAUGAUUCCAUGGAUCUCUGGGCAACGAUGAAAGAGACAAUAGUUUAGCAUCUUGGGUACACUAGUAUACUACACACACAUAUAUAUAUGCUGCAAAUAUUCAGAGUUCAUAGUUCAGACUACUUGGUUCUUAUAGGAUGUGGCUACUCUAAUGCAACAGAUAGUACCUGAACAAUUUGACGAGCCAAAACUUACAGUCAGAAACAAACCAAACUACCCAAUGAACCGGAGCAAUAGCCUUAGAAUGAAGUAUGGCUUUAAUGCACACUGUGGUAGAAAAUAAUGCAAGUCUAGGAUUGUCGAGAUUAAAGUAUCGUUACCUUGUUGAGAAUGUUGCUGGGGAAUUGCCUAACAGAGAGCACGUCGGCAAUGAUGGUGUGGACGAGGAUGGCACAGAUGACGCUCAAUCAACCGCUUUGUGGCUGCACUACAAUGCUUUGUGGCUGCACUACAAAGUAGAAGCAUCAAAAUGCUGUCAUAACAUGCUCUGUCACCAAAGCAUUCGAUAAUCUCAAGUGCUUUAAAAAUCUCAGAUGAAAUCUCGGAGGAACAUGUGCUACUGGCUCCAAGAACAGAAGAUGCAACACAUGACGAAAGCGACCAUAUAAUUUGUAUGCGUAUUACAACACCACAUCAACUCGUUCUUUUACCAAACACAAGAAUCAGACACAACAUGGAGAGUCAAGAAAGAUGCACUCACCAUAUUUCGGCAAACUGAAGACAAUUGUUGUUACGGGGAUUUCUUGGAGAUGAGCACCGCGCUGCCCCUUCGCAGCUCUAGAGGGGAUCUCCACCCCUUGUGGCGGAUCCACUUCGGAUUAACUUGAUUAAAAAAAGUUAAGUCGCCUAACAUGCGACACCCAUGCCUAAGCCAAGUUAACACGAAGUGCCGUCGGAUUUCAUCCGAUGAACCACGUGAACAGGAUCGAGUUAGCAAACUCACACGAAGAUGAGUGGUUCCAGAGAAUACAACAAGUCCACCGAGUGGAACAACUUAACCAUUUAGUUCGACCAGAAAAACAAUUCAUCAGAGUUUUACAAGGUUUCAAAAGAAAACAAUCGAAGGUAAACAGCAAGCGGAAGCUAAACGCAGGGGUCAGACGUCCUUGGUGAGGCCAGCCAAGACGUCAGUGAUCCCUUUCCUCGCCAUCCGAGGAGGGAUCCCACUCGACCGUCCAACCCGGAGGGAGCUGGGGCGGCCAAGUGCCAGCGGAAGAAGGCUCGGGAGCAGCGACUUCACCUGAAAAACAGGAGCCACAACAAGGCUGAGCUACUAAGCUCAAUAAGACUUAACCGACAGGGAGUAACUACUCCACCACUUCUAGACAUGCAAGGCUCUUUGGCUGAGGGGGGUUUGUUUGCCAAGAAGCACUAGGUAAAACCCUAUUUUUAAGUUUUAGCUCCGGUUCUAAGUUCAUUAUCCAGUCUAAGUUUUGCAACCUAUUCUAGGCAACCAUAGAACCAACCAAAGGUAUAUAUAUAUAUAACAUCAUAAAGACCAUGUCGUCAUUAUAUUUCUUUCUUACUCAGGGUAGCAUAGCGAUCAAGCAGUCUCAAACUGUGAGAGGCAGAUGAAUUGAUUCGAGUUCUUUAACCAUGCAUGGUGAACCUAACCUCACGACAUCCGCGCACCCGAAGGUCACUUCCUGUGUCGGCCUUCCCCAUCAAUCCCCUAACCCGUGUCGGGCCCAUUUCCUUUGGUGUAAGGUUCCACAGACCCGGCCUCUGCCGUUCUGUGACCACGCUUGCCACCACGUGCGACAACUAGCAGGGGAAACUCCGUUCCAAGAACAAUGGGGCGACCGCUCACGUCUAGGUUCAAUCCGGUACUAGGCUUCCUCAUCCCAUACUAAGUAUGAGGUUAGUACUUUCAAACACUUGAUCACGAACACCACCACUGUCAGGCCUUAGCAAGUUUCAUAGAUAGACGGGGCGAUCAACCGACCACCAAAGAGUUACCCAAAACCCUGCCCCGUCCAUCGUCCUUAUAGUUGUGACAGGAGGAAGACAACCCCUACCACUCGCGAGCAAUAGGAAAUCACUCGACUUUUACCGCAUCCUAUUUAAGCAAAGCAGCUACUCGAUCCAACAGCUAGUGUUUAGAUCAAGGGAUCUAAGUUAUACAUCUAUGGUUCCAAACAACUCCUAUACGUAAAUGCACAAACAAGAUGCAGAAGGAAUGCGCAAGUCUGGAAAACAUAGGGAUUUCAUGCAUCCGGGGCUUGCCUUCAAGCGAGAAAAAUGGAAGCUGCUCUUCUGCUCGAGCGGCUUCGGCUUCUGAGGGCAGGAGCUCGGCUACACCAUCAUCUUCUGCCGCCGGGUACAGCUCGUAGUAGCCGUCGGCCAGACACAGCUCUACACGAAUGCAAUGCAAGAGUUAGCAUUUUAGACGGUUAUUUCAACAGCAACACUUGCAAGUAUGAGCCCAGAAACUUGCGACAAGUAACAGGAGGGUGGGAAGGUUAAAGGAGUUGGUGGAGAUCAAGAGGUAAGGGUCGGAGGAAAGGAACUUAUGAUCGGAUCCUUAGACUAGAGGAAUAGCUAUGCUAGGGGUCCUCAGACUCAACGCUGAAAGGUCCCCAAGUUUUUACACAUACACCCUCGGUUCGAAGAAAAAGGAUACAGCCGAGUCCUCGGGCGAGGCGGACAAGGGUCGGCGGAACAGACAGGGUCGGACGAGACGGAACCGGGGUCGGACGGAUACGAGGGGUCGAGCGAAGCGGACAAGGGUCGGCAGAACAGACAAGGUCGGGCGAGACGGAAAAAGGGGUCGGGCGGACGGAAGGGUCGGACGAGGCGGCCAAGGGGUCAGCAGCUUACCUUCGUCUUACAAGGAAAGCUUGGGGUCGGAAAGAGCAGGUUCGGGCGGAGGAACUGGAAUACUAAGGCUUGCGGCGGAGAUGCCCGGCGGUGCUCCGGCGGCGGCGGUGCUUCUUGUGGAUCACAAGUAAGCUCUUACGCAGCACGGAGGAGCAAGCGGCUGGGUGGAUUGGGGAAAACGGUGUCGAGCGGAGAGGAGAGUUCCUCAGGGACUUAGUGUGGUGGCGCUAGGAGCUCGAACAGGGAGCAAGAGAAAUGGCGGGAGGGUAGUGAUGGCGAAGGGGACUCCGGCGGGGCUCACGCAUUCCCUUUUAUAGCGGCGCGGGAGUGAGAAGGGGAGUGGCACGAAGGCCGGGGAAGAAGCAAUGGAGUGCUCUGCCCGGGCGGCGAUUGAGCGACGAGGGCGGUGGAGCAGGACUUCGGGGAUUACGCCGGCGGUCAUUGGGCUCUGGCGUCAGGGCGGCGCAGGCGCGGGUUUGCCGGUGGUUGAGAUUUGGCGGAGGCGGGUGUCGUCGUGAGGUGGAGCUGAUGGAAGUGACCGGGAUAGCGGCGCUAGGAACGAGGGCGCACAGGUGAGAAGAUAGGCGGCUGCGGGCGUGCGGGCGAGUGCGGAGCAACAGAUUGUCGGGCGGUUUCUGACAGGGUGGGAAAAAGGAGCUGUCGCUGCCGUGGUCGGGGUUGGCGGAGGAGGAAUCGUCGGGUAGCGAAGACCAGGCGGCGCGACUGUGGCGAGGUGACGGAAAAGACGGGCGACAUCGGGCUCUGCGGCCGGGAUCUGGCGAUGUGAUGAUGGGCGCGGGUGGCGAGGUGCUGCAGAAAGGUUGCAGAGGGGUUUCCGCUGCGAUUGGGGAAGGGGGCGCGAGAAUCCAUUCGGUCGCGGGCCGAAGACGAGGCAGAGCGGCGGGCGUCGGAGGAGUUGAGCCACGCGGCGAGGGAACUCUGAAGUGAGCAUGCAACUCGAGUGCGCCUGUCGCGGAAGAUCUGGGGGAAAAGAUCUCGUGGGUCCACCGGUCAGAUCGAAGGGAGGUGUUGGGGAAAACUUAGAAGAAUCCGGCGGGUGAGUUGGGGUCGGCGGGGUCGGAACUGGAGGCCAGCGUAGAGGGGUCGGGUCUCAGGGGUCGGGACCGGUCGGGAGGUUGAACACUUAGGCUUGGAAAACUAAGGCAGGUGGUCAGGGGCUCAGAUUAAGAUUAACUCAAGAGAUUUCAGGGUCAGUCGUCACAGCCUACCCCUCUUAAAAAGAAUCUCGUCCCGAGAUUCAGGUGUAAGAGUAGGGUGUACCGUUCUUACCUCCUUGACGAGAUAGAAAACCUGGGAAGUGCUUGUUCAGAUACUCGUCUGUUUCCCAUGUUGCUUCAUCCUCCAUGUGUUUCCUCCAGAGGAUCUUGUACAUUCUGACCAUUUGGCGCCGGGUAUGCCUCUCUUUCUGGUCAAGAACUCUGUCUGGGUACUCGGCGUAGGUUAGGUCGGGCUCUAUCUGAAGCUGCUCUUGCUCUAAGAUCUCGGUUGGGACUUGGACACAUUUCUUCAGUUGAGACACAUGGAAGACAUCGUGUAUGGCCGAUAGCUGUUCUGAGAGUUGGAUCCGGUAAGCAACGGGUCCACAGAUCUCCACAAUCUCAUAAGGGCCAAUGUAGCGGGGAUCCAACUUGCCUUUCACUCCAAACUGUUGCACUCCCUUGGUUGGGGAGACUUGAAGAUACACAUGAUCACCAAUGUCAAACUGUAGGGGCCUUCUUCGCCUGUCGGAAUAACUCUUUUGUCGAGAUUGGGGAGCCUUGAGAUUUGCUUGAAUUACCCUUACUUGCUCUUCGGCUUCUACCACUAAGUUAGGGCCAUAGAUCUGUCUUUCUCCAGUUUGUGACCAAUUCAAAGGUGUCCGACAUCUCCGGCCAUAUAAGGCUUCAAACGGUGCCAUCUUCAAACUGGCCUGGUAGCUAUUGUUGUAGGAGAAUUCUACCAAUGGCAGGCACUUGUCCCAGUUCUUGUCAUAGUGGAUGACACAAGCUCUUAACAUGUCUUCAAGGAUUUGAUUGACUCUUUCGGUUUGACCAUCGGUUUGAGGAUGAUAGGUUGAGCUACGGAUGAGUUUGGUGCCCAUGGAUGCUUGUAGCUGCUCCCAAAAGCGUGCCACAAACUGAAUUCCUCGAUCAGAGAUGAUGGUCUUAGGUACACCGUGUAGGGAAACUAUGCGGUCGAGGUACAACUUUGCAUACUGCUUGACUGUGUGGGUGGUGCGGACAGGAAGGAAGUGGGCAGACUUGGUCAGGCGGUCCACUAUAACCCAGAUGAAGUCAUAUCGCUAUGAUGUAAGGGGCAGUCCAACUAUGAAGUCCAUGCUGAUGUCUUCCCAUUUCCAAGAGGGAAUAGGCAGGGGCUACAGGGUACCUGCUGCUUUUAGAUGGCUGGCUUUGACAUGUUGACAGGUGUCACAUUCUGAAACAUACCGGGCAAUUUCAGGCUUCAUUCCACUCCACCAGAAGGUUUGACGGAGAUCAUGGUACAUCUUAUUGCUGCCAGGAUGGAUUGAGAACUUGGAGAGAUGAGCUUCAUCUAGGAUCUGCUUCUUAAGGUUGGGGUCGGAUGGUACAACCAGUCAGUUUCCAUAAUAUACGUUUCCAGUUUCGUCCUAUCGAAACUGCUUAUAUCCUUCAUCUUUCAAGGAGAUCUUCUUGGUGAUCCGCUUUACUUCUUCAUCCUCCACUUGGGCUGACCUUAUUUGGUCUUCUAAAGCAGACUCAAGAGCUAUGUGGCUGAGGGUUCCAUGGGGAACAAUUUCCAGACCAAGUUUUCCCAUCUCGUGACACAAAGUCUCGGUGAAGGUUGUUGCCGACAAGCAGUUGCAAAAGGUCUUGAGACUAAGAGCAUCGGCCACCACAUUGGCCUUGCCGGGAUGAUAGUGAACUUCCAAAUCAUAGUCUUUUAUUAGCUCUAACCAUCUCCUUUGGUGCAUGUUGAGGUCAGCUUGAGUGAAGAUGUACUUGAGACUCUUGUGGCCGGUGUAGAUGUUGCAGUGGGCGCCCAUCAGAUAGUGUCUCCAUAUCUUUAAGGCAUGAAUCACUGCUGCCAACUCAAGAUCAUGGGUCGGGUAGUUCAGCUCAUGAGGUCGCAACGCCCGUGAGGCAUAGGCAAUGACUUGGUUGUCUUGCAUAAGAACACAUCCAAGUCCAGUGCCAGAGGCGUCACAGUACACGUCAAACGGCCUAGAGGGGUCGGGUUGGGCCAAAACUGGGGCUGUGGUCAGCAGGCGCUUUAAGGUUUUGAAGGCUUCUUCACAUGUGUCGUCCCACAUGAAUCUGACCUCUUUCUUCAACAACUCUGUCAUCGGCUUAGCUAUCUUGGAGAAAUCCGGUAUGAAACACCGGUAGUAGCCUGCCAGUCCAAGGAAACUUCGUAUCUGGUGCACUGAGGCGGGAGGCUUCCAGUCCAUAACUUCCUGUACCUUGCUGGGGUUGACGGCUAUGCCAUCCUUGGAGAUAGUGUGUCCCAAAAACUUGACACUAUCUAACCAGAACUCACACUUGGAGAACUUGGCAUAGAGUUGAUGAUCUCUUAGCCGUUGGAGAACUACGCGAAGAUGGUUGGCAUGUUCUUCUUCACUCUUCGAGUACACGAGGAUAUCAUCAAUGAACACCACUACAAACUUGUCCAACUCAGGCAUGAACACUGAGUUCAUGAGGUACAUGAAAUAGGCGGGUGCAUUGGUGAGUCCAAAGGACAUGACCAGGUACUCGUAGGGUCCAUAUCUUGUGGAGAAUGCUGUUUUGGGUAUGUCGCAGGGUCGGAUCUUGAUUUGGUGAUAACCCGAACGAAGAUCGAUCUUGGAGAACACUUUUGCUCUAGCUAACUAAUCAAACAAGACAUCGAUGCGUGGCAGUGGGUACUUGUUCUUGACGGUCACCGCAUUGAGGGGUCGGUAGUCCACACACAUGCGGAGACUCCCAUCCUUCUUCUUCACAAACAAGGCGGGGCAACCCCAAGGUGAUGUGCUGGGUCGGAUGAAGCCUUUUUCCAACAGAUCAUGCAACUGGGUCUUCAACUCGGCCAACUCAGUAGGCGGCAUCCGAUAGGGUCUCUUGGACAUCGGAGCUGUGCCGGGGAUCAACUCUAUGGAAAACUCCACAUCUCUAUUGGGCGGCAUGCCGGGCAAGUCCUCUGGGAACACAUCCGGGUAUUCACAGACAACAGGGAGGCUUUCUAGCCGGGCUUCCGACAGAGGGUACGCACAAGGAAGUGCGGAUUUAGGAGGGUUCAAGAACAGGGUACAACUGCCAUGAAAGGGUGAGUUGAUGUAAAGAGUUCGGGCAGCUGUAUCUAGAACCACUUGGUGUCUGGUCAUCCAAUCCAUCCCGAGGAUGAUAUCUAUUCCUUCCAGGUCAAGGAUGAUAAGAUUUUCAUAAAAAAAGGGUUUGGCCUAGCUGGAGAGGUACAAGAGUAACGAUCUGAUCCGAGGCUAUCUUUCCUCCCGGAGUGGCGAUCACAUAGGAUUCUUUAGUGUGACCGACAUCCAGCUCACAUCUUUCUCUAGUCUUACUCCCGAUGAAGCUAUGAGAGGCUCCCGAAUCCAACAACACAACAACAGCUUGAUUUAAGACAAGGAAAGUACCCGUCAUCACUGGCGCACCUUCGGGGAGUUCGGUCAAGCUGGUGUAGUUGAGCCGUCCUUGUCGAACUUGCACCUUGGGCCUUCUUCCUCUGUUCGCUGCUGAUUUCUGUUCCUGGGGCAGUCCUUAGCAAAAUGCCCUUCAUUGCCGCAGGUGAAGCAGCGGUUACCAGUUGCAGGGUGGGGUGGUGCUGGUGGGGUCGGCUGGGGUGCCUGUGGUUGGAAGCCGGGAAAACGGGGCGCUGCUGCUGGUGGGGGUCAGGCAAUCCACCUUUCCGACUGUUGGGGUCGGCCGGGCGCUUGUGGAGGAACCAUCCGGAACCUUCGAGUUGGCUGGCUCAGAAAUGCCACGGAGGCCUUCCUCUUCUGGUCGGCUUUGAGAGCCUGCAUGCAAUCCUCUUGCGAGAUGGCCAGGUUGACCAACUCGUUGUAGGUAUCCACCUUGAUGGGGUUCAAUCUCUCUCUGAGCUCCAAACUCAGUCCUCAGCGGAAUCUAUCCCGCUUCUUCUCGUCUGUGUCCGCACGAUAGCCGGCAUAACAGCACAGAUCAUUGAAAGCCUGGGCGUAGUGCAGGACUGUGGCGGAACCACCUCGGAUUAGCUUGAUUAAGCAGGGUUAAGCCGCCUAACAUGCGACACUCCUGCCUAAACCGAGUUAAUACGAAGUGCCGUCGGAUUUCAUCCGAUUUAACCACUUAAACAGGAUCGAGUUUAGCAACCCACACAAAGGUGAGUGGUUACAGAGAAUACAACAAGUCCCCUGAGUUGAACAAGUUUUACCCAUUUAGUUCGGCCAUAAAAACCAACAUCGGAGUUUUACAAGUUUUCAAGAAACAACAGAGAAAACACUAGCGGAAGACUUCAUCGGGGUCGGACAUCCCUGGUGAGGCCAACCGGGACAUCACUGGCUCCUCUCCUCGUCGUUCGAGGAAGGAUCCCACUCGACCGUCCAGCCUGGCGGGAGCUGGGGCGGCCAAGCACCAACCAGAGAGGGGUCGGAAGCAGCAACUUCACCUGAAAAACAGGAGCCACAACAGGACUGAGCUACUAAGCUCAACAAGACUUAACCGAUAGGAGUUAGCUACUCCUCCAUCUAGACAUGCAAGGCUUUUUGGCAGAGGGGUUUGUUUGCCAAAAGUACUAAGUAACCCUAGUUUCAAGUUUUAGCUCCGGUUCUAGGUUCAUUUACCAGUCUAGGUUGUGCCACCUAUUCUAAGCAUUCAUAGAACCAAACAAGAUGAGUAGAUAUAACAACAAACAUUGCCAUCAUCAGAUUCCUCAUUUACUCAGGGUGACAUAGCGAUCAAGCAAUCUCAAACUGUGAGAGGCAGACGAAUCGAUUCGAGUUCUUUAACCAUGCAUGGUGAACCUAGCCUCACGACAUCCGCGCACCCGGGGGUCGCUUCCUGUGUCGGCCUUCCCCAUCAAUCCCCUAACCCGUGUCGGGCCCAUUUCCUUGGUGCAAGGUUCCACAGACCCGGCCUCUGCCGUUCUGUGACCACGCUUGCGACCACAUGCGACAACCAGCAGGGGAAACUCCGUUCCAAGAACAAUGGGGCGACCGCUCACGUCUAGGUUCAAUCCGGUACUAGGCUUCCUCAUCCCAUACUAAGUAUGAGGCUAGUACUUUCAAACACUUGAUCACGAACACCACCACUGUCGGGCCUUAGCAAGAUUUCAUAGACAGAUGGGGCGACUAUCCGACCACCAAAAAGUUACCAAACCCUGCCCCGUCCAUCGUCCUUAUAGUUAUAACAGGAGAGUAAACAUGCAACUCCUACAACUCGCGAGUGACAGGAAAUCACUCGACUUUUACCGUCUCCUAGUUAAGCAAAGCAGCUACUCGGUCCAACAGCUAGUGCUCAGAUCAUGGGUUAACUGAGUCAUGCAUCUAGGGUUUCACACAACUCCUAUAGGUAAAUGCACAAGCAUGUUACAGAAGGCAUGUGCAAGUUUGGUGAACACUCAAGGUUUUCAUGCAACCGGGGCUUGCCUUCAAGCAAGGAGGACGGGAACUGCUCGACUUCGGGGGUGACUUCGGCUUCGGAGGACAGGAGCUCGGCUACAGCUUCUUCUUCUGGCGCCGGGUGAAGCUCGUAGAAACCGUCGGCGAGGUGCAGCUCUACACGAAUGCAAUGCAAGGGUUAGCAUAGACGGUUAAAUCAACAGCAACACUGGCUCGCCUGAGCCCAGAAACUUGCGACAAAGAGCAGGAGGUUAUGGUGGUUCGAGAGAGCUGAUGAUGAUCAAGAGGUAAGGGUAGGAAAGGAACUAGUGGUCUGAUCCUUGAACUAGAGGAUGUGAUAAACUGGGGGUCCUUAGACGCAAGCGCUGAAGGGUUCCCAAGUUUUACACAUACACCCUCGAGUUGAAGAAAAAGAUCACAGCCAAGCCCUCGGGCGAGGCGGAUAAGGGUCGGUGGAACAGAUAGGAUCGGGCGAGACAGAACUGGGGUCGGGCGGAUAUGGGGGGUCGGGCGAGGCGGACUGGGGUCGGCAACUCACCUUCUUCCUGAAAGGAAAGCGUGGGGUCGGGAAGAAGCGGACUUGGGCGGAUGGACUAAGGUUUGAACAGAAGCUAAGACCGGCAAUGCUCCGACGGUGGCGCUGCUUCUUGAGGAUCACAAGAGAGCUUUUACGCAGCACGGAGGAGCAAGCUGCUGGGUGACUUGGAGAAAACUGAGAGAGAACUGAGAGAAGAACUCCUCAAGAACUAGGUGGGUGGUGCUAGGAGCUUGAGCAGGGAGCUAGAGAAGGCUGAAGGCAACAAGGGCGGAGGGAAACUCCGGCGACGGGGGCAUUCCUUUUAUAGCUGCUGGAGCAGAGGAAAGGAAACGGCGCGGAGAGAGAGAAGGGGAGCGGCGCGAAGACCGGGGAGAGGCAAUGGAGUGCUCUGCCGGGGCGGCGAUUGAGCGAAGAGGGCGGUGGUGCAGAGCUUCGGGGGUGACGCCAGCGAUCAUUGCGUUCUGCCGUCAGGGCGGCGUAGGAGCGGGUAGACUAGUGGUUGAGAUUUGGCGGAAAGCGGGCGUCGCCGUGCGGAAGAGGUGAUAGAAGCGACCGGUUUAACGGCGCUAGAAUCGAGGGCGCACAGGUGAGAAGAUAGGCGGACGCGGGCGCGGGGGAGAGCGCGGAACAACAGAUUGUCGGGCGGCUUCUGACAGAGCGGGGGAAAGGAACUGUCGCGGCCGCGGUCGGGGUUGGCGGUGGAGGAAUUGUCGUGUAGCGGCGACCGGGCAGCGCGACUGUGGCUGAAGGGACGGAAAAGACUGGCGACAUCGGGCUCUGGGGCCGGGAUCUGGUGGCGUGAUGAUGGGCGCGGGAGGCGAGGCGCUGCAGAAAGGGGUGCAGAGGGCUUCCGCUACCAUUGGGGAAAGGGGGCGCGGGAACCCACUCGGUUGCUUGCCAGAGACAAAACUGAGCGGCAGGCGUCAGAGAAGACGAGCCACGCGGCAGGAAGACUCUGAGGCGGCCAUGCAACUCGAGUGCGGCUAUCGCGGGGGAUCUAGAAAAGAUCUCACGGGUCCACCAGUGGAUAGAUCAGACGGGUGAGGAAGAUUAGCAGAAUCCGACGGUGGGCUGAGCUCGCCGGGGUCGGGAGAGGAGCGAAGCGGGAAGGGGUCGGAUCCAGGGGUCGGGACCAGGCGGCUAGCUGAGCACUUAGGCGCAAUCAAGCAAGACAGAUGACUAGGAUCAAGGGCUCUGAACAAGACUAACUCGGGAAGGGUUAGGGGUCGGUCGUUACAAGGACAUCUUGGGUUCCCUAGGUAAGAGCCAGGAACUCGUUGAGCUUGCGCUCCAAGCGACCUUCCGGAAUAUGAUGCCCUUUGAACGCGGUCUUAAACUCGUUCCAGCUGACUACAUGGCCGGCCGGCAACAUAGCAUGGUAGUGGUCCCACCAGAGCCGGGCGGAACCACGCAGCUGCUGAGCUGCAAAUCGGGCCUUGUUAUGGUCGGGGCACGGGGCGGUGAGGAGCUCGAACUUGGAUUCAAUCGUACGAACCCAAGCGUCGGCGUCGAGCGGUUCUUGUGUCUUCUGAAACAAAGGGGGCUGCGUCCCCAAGAAGCCUUCAUAUCGAGCAACAUGAGGUUGCUGCUGAGCUCUUCCGCCAUGGGGCUGCUGCUGUUGUCCUUGUACAAGAUGCCUCAGCAGCUCGGUUUGAGCCGCUAGGAUUGCCUCUAGUGGAGACGAGGGCGGGGGUGAGGGAAGAUCUUGUCUUUGCUCACUGCUGCCGGGCACAGAACCAGAUCUGGUGCGAUGCGCCAUCUGCAAGAGUUAACAUUCCAUUAAAUUCAUAAUCUUAGAAGUACUCCAACAGAUGGAACGCAUAAGUUAAAAAUUCUCCGAUGUAACUCUUGCUGAUAAUGCAACACACGUCCUCAUAAGGGAGAUACACUCUUCUCAUUGCCAUGUUAGUUAGAUCUAUCUUAGUUGUGUACUCGACUUCGGGCGAACCAUACCCUACCCAGACUCCUGGAAUUCCCUUACAUCUGAACUUAAGCCAAGGGGUCGGGCUAGGCGAUCAUCCCGAGAAAAGGGUCAGCAAGCGAUCCACACAAAAAGGGGUCGGGCGAGGCGGAGACUGCCUCGUGGGGUCGGACGCAUCCGAUCUUGCGAACCAAGGUCGGUCAAGCUUGAUCAAACCCACAGACAACAUCGUGUGUGGUCACUGCACAAAUUACUUAGUCUAACAUUCCAACACUUUGCCAAAGAGUUAAAGGUCAGACUCAGGAUUUGAUUUCAUUGGGAUCUUUUUACAGAGGUGUUCCAAACACAGGGAGUACUCGACUGAAGGCUGACCUAUCACAGAUCUUUCCAAAAUUUAGGCUGCCGAGGAGUACAACAAAAGAAUGAGUUCCUUGCAACUCUUCAUCUACAAAUGAACACUAUGAGUAGGAGAAGGGGCGCCGUCUUCUUCAAUGUCCAUACUGGACGCUCCCUCAACCUCCUCGGGGUCCUCUUAAGCUUCUAGUUGCAUAUGGAGGGCGUGCAUAUCGUCGAGCUCGGCUUGAUGCUCGUCCAGGUGAGCAUUGGCAACCGCCAGCUCCAUUUCCACUUCCAUUUUCUCCUCUGAUAGCUCGAUCAUGCCGUCCACCAGGUCGGAUACUUCUCCUUCGAGCUCAGAGAUUCUAUCUUGCAUGUCAUGGAUCUGAACGCCUUGUUGGAUAAGCUGAUAGGUUUGGCCUACCAGGUCUCUUCUGGCUGCCUGGAGGUGUCCUUGGGCAUCCACAGCGGUCUGAGCAAGAAUGGUCAUGGCUCUUCCUUGGAGCUCAAUCAUCCAAUAGAGGGCCGACAUACACCGGAUGUUGGUGGAGAUGGUGACCAUAGAGUAGGUGGUGGCCAGCACCUCGAUAUUGCCAACGCGGUCGAGCCACGCCGGAUCCAACCGGUUCCUGGCAGGGAACAGGCCGAUGGGGUCUAGGGUGACCUCCAGUGGGUGCAGCUGACAGAAACGAGUAAGGAGCUGAAGGGUGGCGGACUCCCAGGUGUCUUCUGGGGCAAGACCAUAUGCUGAUAUCCCGAACGAGGGCCAGUCAGGCCGCACAGGAGGAGGAGGUACUACUGCCUGUACGUUGCACGUCUGGACGCCUUGCUCCAGGUACAGUCGUCCUGCAUACAACGGUGGGGACUGGUACCCGAACCAUUUCAAGGUAUCCCACAAAAUCGCGGGGAAGCCCUCGAAGUGUAGACACGUUGAAUGGAAGGUGCCAUCCGCUCCAUAUAGGACAUGUCCGGGGGCGGCCAUCUGGAAUCAAGAAACCAAAACCACGUGAGAUGGACUCCAAAGGUCAGGGGUCGGACAAAGAAAGCAUUCGGUUUUUUAACUGAAAACAAGUUGGAGGAACUAGAAAUCCUUAGAACCGAAGAAGAGCUCUCCGAGCAAGGUUGCUUUUGAGGAGGGUGACUUUACAGAUUUUAGCUUAUGUCGCAUGCACGGCCUACAUCGUUCUCAACCAAAACAACUGGCAAAACUUGGUCUUACGCGGUUAGUGCCGGUGACAAGGCAACCAAUACGUCUCUCCCUAUAAUAGCUAGUCGGUUCUAGCAACGUCUCCUAAGCGAACGCGGUUAGUGUACCUGCAGAAAACACCACCACAGACGAACCUUUCGUGCCAGCACCCACGAAAGUGUUCCCAAACAUUACCGCUCACUAUAGGAACGGCACCCAUGCGUUCAAGGCUGCAUGGACAGCACUCAACCAUGGAAAUAGGUUGCCUUUGAAUGGAACCGUAUAACCCUUUGCAUACUCGCGAUGCGGAAUCAGCGCACGUAUAAUAGACGUGGCGAACAACCGUGCUGAUAGGCUCGUUGGAAUCGAACCGUACCAACCUUCGUAUGGAUUACAUACGGAACCUGCGCACGUAUGAUAGACGUGGGCGAAACAACCGCGAUGAUAGGGUCCUUUGAAUAGAACUCUCUAUCAACCCUCACAUACUCGUGAUGCGGAACUCGUCACACGUAUGAUAAACGUGGAGAAGUGCUGGAAGGGUUAGCAAGAUAACCAUGUAAAAUAUUAGCCACCUAAAACAACCCCAAAAUCCCCUAGGGCCUCUCGCACUGAAGUUAUCCUUAACGAUCGUACGAGAUAGUUUUCAAAAAGUUUCUUGCAACUUUUAUCUUUUCAAAGAAGUGUGCUAGGGCUUGUUGUGUUCUCUGUAUUGCUAACCAGCUCUGGUACCAGCUGUGGCGGAUCCACUUCGGAUUAACUUGAUUAAAUAGAGUUAAGUCGCCUAACAUGCGACACCCAUGCCUAAGCCAAGUUAACACGAAGUGCCGUCGGAUUUUAUCCGAUGAACCACGUGAACAGGAUCGAGUUAGCAAACUCACACGAAGAUGAGUGGUUCCAGAGAAUACAACAAGUCCACCGAGUGGAACAACUUAACCAUUUAGUUCGACCAGAAAAACAAUUCAUCAGAGUUUUACAAGGUUUCAAAAGAAAACAACCGAAGGUAAACAGCAAGCGGAAGCUAAACGCAGGGGUCGGACGUCCUUGGUGAGGCCAGCCAAGACGUCAGUGAUACCUUUCCUCGCCGUCCGAGAAGGGAUCCCACUCGACCGUCCAACCCGGAGGGAGCUGGGGCGGCCAAGUGCCAGCGGAAGAAGGCUCGGGAGCAGCGACUUCACCUGAAAAACAGGAGCCACAACAAGGCUGAGCUACUAAGCUCAACAAGACUUAACCGACAGGGAGUAACUACUCCACCACUUCUAGACAUGCAAGGCUCUUUGGCUGAGGGGGGUUUGUUUGCCAAGAAGCACUAAGUAAAACCCUAUUUUCAAGUUUUAGCUCCGGUUCUAAGUUCAUUAUCCGGUCUAAGUUUUGCAACCUAUUCUAGGCAACCAUAGAACCAACCAAAGGUAUAUAUAUAACAUCAUCAAGAUCAUGUCGUCAUUAUAUUUCUUUCUUACUCAGGGUAGCAUAGCGAUCAAGCAGUCUCAAACUGUGAGAGGCAGACGAAUCGAUUCGAGUUCUUUAACCAUGCAUGGUGAACCUAACCUCACGACAUUCGCGCACCCGAAGGUCGCUUCCUGUGUUGGCCUUCCCCAUCAAUCCCCUAACCCGUGUCGGGCCCAUUUCCUUUGGUGCAAGGUUCCACAGACCCGGCCUCUGUCGUUCUGUGACCACGCUUGCCACCACGUGCGACAACUAGCAGGGGAAACUCCGUUCCAAGAACAAUGGGGCGACCGCUCACGUCUAGGUUCAAUCCGGUACUAGGCUUCCUCAUCCCAUACUAAGUAUGAGGUUAGUACUUUCAAACACUUGAUCACGAACACCACCACUGUCAGGCCUUAGCAAGUUUCAUAGAUAGACGGGGCGAUCAACCGACCACCAAAGAGUUACCCAAAACCCUGCCCCGUCCAUCGUUCUUAUAGUUGUGACAGGAGGAAGACAACCCCUACCACUCGCGAGCAAUAGGAAAUCACUCGACUUUUACCGCAUCCUAUUUAAGCAAAGCAGCUACUCGAUCCAACAGCUAGUGUUCAGAUCAAGGGAUCUAAGUUAUACAUCUAUGGUUCCAAACAACUCCUAUACGUAAAUGCACAAACAAGAUGCAGAAGGCAUGCGCAAUUUUGGAAAACAUAGGGAUUUCAUGCAUCCAUGGCUUGCCUUCAAGCGAGAAAGGAGGAAGCUGCUCUUCUGCUCGGGCGGCUUCAGCUUCUGAGGGCAGGAGCUCGGCUACACCGUCGUCUUCUGCCGCCGGGUGCAGCUCGUAGUAGCCGUCGGCGAGACGCAUCUCUACACGAAUGCAAUGCAAGAGUUAGCAUUUUAGACGGUUAUUUCAAUAGCAACACUUGCAAGUAUGAGCCCAGAAACUUGCGACAAGUAAUAGGAGGGUGGGGAGGUUAAAGGAGUUGGUGGAGAUCAAGAGGUAAGGGUCGGAGGAAAGGAACUUAUGAUCGGAUCCUUAGACUAGAGGAAUAGCUAUGCUAGGGGUCCUCAGACUCAACGCUGAAAGGUCCCCAAGUUUUUACACAUACACCCUCGGUUCGAAGAAAAAGGAUACAGCUGAGUCCUCGGGCGAGGCGGACAAGGGUCGGCGGAACAGACAGGGUCGGACGAGACGGAACCGGGGUCGGGCGGAUAAGAGGGGUCGGGCGAAGCGGACAAGGGUCGACAGAACAGACAGGGUCGGGCGAGACGGAAAAAGGGGUCGGGCGGACGGAAGGGUCGGACGAGGCGGACAAGGGAUCAGCAGCUUACCUUUGUCUUACAAGGAAAGCUUGGGGUCGGGAAGAGCAGGUUCGGGCGGAGGAACUGGAAUACUAAGGCUUGCGGCGGAGAUGCCCGGCGGUGCUCCGGCGGCGGCGGUGCUUCUUGUGGAUCACAAGUAAGCUCUUACGCAGCACGGAGGAGCAAGCGGCUGGGUGGAUUGGGGAAAACGGUGUGAAGCGGAGAGGAGAGUUCCUCAGGGACUUAGUGUGGUGGCGCUGGGAGCUCGAACAGGGAGCAAGAGAAAUGGCGGGAGGGUAGUGAUGGCGAAGGGGACUCCGGUGGGGCUCGCGCAUUCCCUUUUAUAGCGGCGCGGGAGUGAGAAGGGGAGUGGCGCGAAGGCCGGGGAAGAAGUAAUGGAGUGCUCUGCCCGGGCGGCGAUUGAGCGACGAGGGCGGUGGAGCAGGACUUCGGGGAUGACGCCGGCGGUCAUUGAGCUCUGGCGUCAGGGCGGCGCAGGCGCGGGUUUGCCGGUGGUUGAGAUUUGGCGGAGGCGGGUGUCGUCGUGCGGUGGAGCUGAUGGAAGUGACCGGGAUAACGGCGCUAGGAACGAGGGCGCACAGGUGAGAAGACAGGCGGCUGCGGGCGCGCGGGCGAGCGCGGAGCAACAGAUUGUCGGGCGGCUUCUGACAGGGUGGGAAAAAGGAGCUGUCGCUGCCGUGGUCGGGGUUGGCGGAGGAGGAAUCGUCGGGUAGCGAAGACCAGGCGGCGCGACUGUGGUGAGGUGACGGAAAAGACGGGCGACAUCGGGCUCUGCGGCCGGGAUCUGGCGAUGUGAUGAUGGGCGCGGGCGGCGAGGUGCUGCAGAAAGGUUGCAGAGGGGUUUCCGCUGCGAUUGGGGAAGGGGGCGCGAGAAUCCAAUCGGUCACGGGCCGAAGACGAGGCGGAGCGGCGGCGUCGGAGGAGUUGAGCCACGCGGCGGGGGAACUCUGAAGUGAGCAUGCAACUCGAGUGCGCCUGUCACGGAAGAUCUGGGGGAAAAGAUCUCGUGGGUCCACCGGUCAGAUCGAAGGGAGGUGUUGGGGAAGACUUAGAAGAAUCCGGCGGGUGAGUUGGGGUCGGCGGGGUCGGAACCGGAGGCCAGCGGAGAGGGGUCGGGUCUCAGGGGUCGGGACCGGUCGGGAGGUUGAACACUUAGGCUUGGAAAACUAAGGCAGGUGAUCAGGGGCUCAGAUUAAGAUUAACUCGGGAGAUUUCGGGGUCGGUCGUCACACCCCUCCUCACCAAAUCUUAGAGACGAGUGACGCGCUAACCCCUCGCAGCGCUGGAGAGGAUCACCACUCGUGUGGCCGUGUGCCACGUCCGGAUCUACUCCCCUCACCGGAUAUUAACAUGAGUACGGUCGCCACCGUCGUCUUGCAACGCUGCCGCUGCCUCUGCCUGUUUAGACCUUGUUUAGUUUCCAAUUUGAAAGUGCUAAAGUUGUGAUUUUACCAUAAAUGCGCAACUGUAGCAUUUCGUUUGUAUUUGUGAAUUAUUAUCCAAACAUUGAUUAAUUAGGCUUAAAAAAUUCAUCUCGCAAAGUACAACAAAACUGUACAAUUAGUUUUUGAUUUCGUUUACAUUUAGUAUUCCAUGCAUGUACUGCAAGUUUGAUGUGAUGGGGAAUCUUCUUUUUGCAUAGUGUCAAAGUUGGGAGUUUGGAGGGAACUAAACAUGGCCUUGAUUAAGAAACCAUUGUGUCAGACCGGACGGAGUCUAGAGACCGUUACCUUGCGUAAGCACACGUGCACCGUUCGCUUGGGUUUCGGUUGCUGCGUUUCUAGCUUGAACAGCUUGGUCCUUCCGCUUGCUCUAAGCAGCUUACCGAUGAAAAUAAAUAAGAAUCCUGAUAAAUAAUUUGCUUAUUUUCAUCAAUUUUCACUUAUGUGGUAAGCCGCUUCAGAGAUUUAAACUACGAAAAGCGAAAAGCGAGAAGCGAGAAAAUCUUCGUUUAGAUUAUAAUCCAAGCGUGAUUAGAAGAAACGUAUCCCACCGCAUAAGGAUUAGUCGCCGCGUUUGACCGGAGCACUGUCUGACCGCAAGAAAGAUUAUGACGAGGCGAAGUCGCUUUAGGGAUUUAAACUACGAGAAGCGAAAAGCGAGAAGCGAGAAAAUCUUCGUUUAGAUUAUAAUCCAAACGUGGUUAGGAGAAACGUAUCCCACCGCAUAAGGAUUAGUGGUCGCGUUUGACCAGAGCACUGUCUGACCGGAUUAUGACGAGGGGAAAGUGACUCCGACCUAAAUUUCUCUUUUUUAACACAUGCAGUCAAGAACAAAAUGAUGAUAACUACUCUAACGGGCGUUAACAUAUAGUACAAGCGUACAGAUCAUGCUCUCUCCGAUAAGGCAUUUUAAGGUUUUAAGGCUGUUCGAAGCAAACCAUUUCGAAGUUUGACAAUAAGUAGUCUUUAUGUUGAGUUUGAAUAUUUAGAAGUUAUGCGAGUUUUGAAUGUUUAGAAGUUAUGCGAGUAUAUAUGUCUAAACACAGUUUUAAAAUAUGUGUACUUUCUGUACUGUACUGUAUAUUGGAAGAAAAAGUGGCGGUCAAAAUUUAAAAAGAUAACAUUGGACAGUCUGAAUGUGUCACUACUCACUAGUAGCCUAAGUGCCUGACCAAGACCUUGUUUAGUUAUCCUAAAAUCCCAACUUAAGCACUAUGCAAAAAGAAGAUUCUCCAUCACAUCAAACUUACGGUAUAUGUAUGGAGUACUGAAUGUAGACGAAAUCAAAAACUAAUUGCACAGUUUGGUUGUACUUUGCGAGACGAAUCUUUUGAGCCUAAUUAGUCAAUAUUUGAUAAUAAUUCACAAAUACAAACGAAACACUACAAUAUGCAACAGUGUUGACGCAGUGGACUAAACAGGGCGCAAAGGGAGUACUUCAGUUUAGGCCUCGACUUCUAGAGCAAAGACCCAGCUGAGCUCGGUCUUCCACUCAUCCACUGUACUUCGAGAAGGCAUUUCUCCACGAACAAGACGUUUGCGUCUGGAUGGAUCCUAAUCCGACGAAAAACCACGCACUAAUCCAGGAAAUCUUGAAAUAAGAAGCUUCGCAGCAGGAAGGACGGCUCGUGCCAGUCAACGGUAGGUGUUUAGCGUAGAAAAAACAGGGGAGCCCCUGCUCCGGCCGCAUUUGCUUACCGAGCGAAAUCGUCCCCCCUCUUCCCGCGCCCGCCGCGGCGGUCGAGCGCAGCCAACGCCACUCCACCCCACGAAACCCAAACCGUCCGAGCCAUCAGAUCAGACAUGGCACCGCCGCGCCGCGCUCGCGCGCGCGCCUACCUCCACCUGCUGCUCGCGGUCGUGCUGCUCCCCUGCUGCUGCCUCCCGCGCCGCGCGGCCGCGCAGUCCCCGCCGGCGGGCGAGGCGCGGGUGCUGCUGGAGAUCAAGCGCGCGUGGGGCGACCCGCCCGCGCUCGCGGGGUGGAACGCCACGGACGCGGCCACGCUCUGCAGCUGGCCGCACGUCGGUUGCGACGCGGCCGGCCGCGUCGUGAACCUCACCCUCGCCAACGCCAACGUCGCGGGCCCCUUCCCGGACGCCGUCGGCGACCUCACCGGCCUCACCUACCUCGACGUCUCCAGCAACAACAUCACCGGCGUGUUCCCGACCACGCUCUACCGCUGCGCUUCACUUCAGUACCUCAACCUGUCCCUGAACUACUUCGGUGGCGCGCUCCCGGCUAACAUCGGCAGCAGCCACGCCGCGAGCCUGACCACACUCGACCUCAACGGCAAUAAGUUUAAUGGCACCCUCCCGGCGUCGCUCUCCGAGCUACGGAGCCUCCAGUAUCUCGAUCUGAGCAGCAACAGCUUCACCGGCGCCAUCCCGGCAUCGCUCUCUGGACUCGGGAACCUCCAGCUUCUCGGGUUGAACGACAACCGCUUCACGGGCACCAUCCCGGCGGAGCUCGGCGAGCUCGCGAGCCUUCAGUCGCUGUAUCUGGCAAACAACCCUUUCGACGCAGGCCAGCUGCCGGCGUCGUUCAAGAAUAUGUCCAACCUGGUCAGCCUCUGGGCGUCGCAGUGCAAUCUCGUCGGAGACUUCCCCAAUUUUGUUUGGAGCCUGAAGAAGCUGCAACUAUUGUUUCUAUACACAAACAGCAUCACCGGCGACAUGGUCAUUGAUGGAUUUGCUGCGAGAAGCUUGACAAAAAUCGACGUCUCAGACAACAAAAUUAGUGGAGUCAUCCCGGAAGUGUUUGGGGGAUUGGAGAACCUCACAAUCUUGAACCUCUUCAUGAACAACUUCUCCGGCGAGGUACCAGCCAGCAUCGGCCAGUUGCCGUUACUGAGGAUAUUGAGACUCCACACCAACAGGCUCAACGGCACGCUCCCACCGGAGCUCGGAAAGCAGUCGCCGGGUUUGUAUUAUGUUGAGGUUGACUACAAUGAUUUCACCGGCGGGAUCCCUGAAGGACUGUGCACCGGAGGCAACUUCCACGAACUCAAAGCCAAGAGCAACCGAUUGAACGGCUCCAUCCCGGCAGGCCUUGCCAACUGCGCCACUCUUGGAACCCUGUCGCUGGACAACAACCAACUCACCGGCGACGUACCAGAGGCUCUGUGGACGGCGACGAAGCUUUACUUCGUGACAAUGCAGAGUAAUCAGCUCACCGGGACUCUUCCGGCCACGGUGCAUUUCAACAUUUCGACGUUACGCAUUGGGAACAACCAAUUCAGUGGCAACAUUCCGGCUGCAGUAGCUGCUCUCCAGGUGUUCACCGCCGAGAACAACCGGUUUUCUGGUGCGAUACCGGCGAGUCUUGGCGACGGCAUGCCGCUGCUGCAAAGACUCAGCUUGUCCGGGAACCAACUGUCCGGCGGGAUCCCGAGAAGCGUUGCUAAGCUAAGCCAGCUGACGCAAAUGGACCUGAGCAGGAAUCAGCUCACCGGCGGCAUACCGGCAGAGCUCGGCGCCAUGCCGGUGUUAAGUGUCCUUGACCUGUCGUCGAACAAGCUCUCCGGCAACGUACCGCAGGCGCUUGCGAAGCUACAACUCACCUCCCUGAACCUGUCCUCGAACCAGCUGAGCGGUCAGGUCCCGGCCGGGUUGGACACAGCGGUCUACGACACCAGCUUCCUCGACAACCCCGGCCUCUGCACCGCCGCUGCCGGAUCCGGCUACCUCACCGGCGUACCUUCCUGCGCCGGCGGAUCACAAGACCGCGCUUCCUCCGGAGGCGUCUCGCACGCACUCCGCACGGGCCUCCUCGCCGCCGGCGCCGCGCUCCUCCUAAUCGCCGGUGCGUUCGCCUUCUUCGUCAUCCGCGACAUCAAGAAACGGCGGCGCGUCGCGGAGCAAGACGACUGGAAGAUCACGCCUUUCGUAAAAGAUCUGGGAUUCGGUGAGGCACCCAUACUCCGGGGGCUGACGCAGGAGAACAUCGUCGGCCGCGGGGGAUCGGGGCGCGUGUACCGCGUCGCCUACACCAACCGGCUUAACGGCCGAGCCGGCGCGGUGGCCGUGAAGCAAAUACAGACCGCCGGGAAGCUCGACGAGAAGCUGGAACGCGAGUUCGCGUCCGAGGCUGGCAUCCUCGGCAACCUCCGGCACAACAACAUCGUCAGGCUCUUGUGUUGCCUCUCCAACGCCGAGUCCAAGCUCCUCGUGUACGACUACAUGGACAAUGGCAGCCUGGACAGGUGGCUCUACGGCGACGCCCUCCCCGCCGGUGGGCGCCCCAUGGCAAGGGCGCGGUCCGCGCGGCGCGAACCGCUGGAUUGGCCGGCGAGGCUCAGGGUGGCCGUCGGCGCCGCGCAGGGGCUGUGUUACAUGCACCACGAGUGCGAGCCGCCCAUCGUUCACCGGGACGUCAAGACGAGCAACAUCCUGCUGGACUCGGAGUUCCGGGCCAAGAUCGCCGAUUUCGGGCUGGCCAGGAUGCUGCUGCAGGCCGGGGCGCCCGAGACGAUGUCCGCCGUUGCCGGAUCGUUCGGCUACAUGGCUCCUGGUAAGGAUCCGAACUUGCUGCUUCCAGUGAAUUUCUGUCCCAUUUCUCCAGAUUCAAUAACUGGGGAGCAGCACUGUUACAAAUGCCACAUGCUCUCGUGUUGCCGGACCUUAGAUUGGGCCUUUUGAUGCUUAUCUGCAGAGUGCGCUUACACCAUGAAGGUGAGCGAGAAGGUUGACGUUUACAGCUUCGGCGUCGUUCUCCUGGAGCUCACCACCGGAAAGGAGGCCAACGACGGCGGCGAGCACGGCUGCCUGGCGGACUGGGCACGGCACCACUACCAAUCAGGAGGGAGCAUCCCCGACGCCACAGACAAGAGCAUCAGAUACGACGGGUACUCUGACGAGAUCGAGGUUGUCUUCAGGCUCGGCGUGCUCUGCACCGCCGAUAUGCCGUCGUCGCGGCCAACCAUGAACGACGUGCUGCAGAUCUUGGUCAAGUGCAGCGAGCAGACGUACCACAAGGGCAAGACGGAGCGUGGCCCAGAGUAUGAGGCGGCUCUGCUACCCAAGCGCGGCAGUCGCCGGAAACAGCUUUCAAACGACUCGGGGAUCGACAUCGAAGAGAAGAUCGACUUCGACAGCAUUGUCUGAAGAAAGGAACUGACCACUGCAUAUGCCAGUAAGCAGCUUGUGACAUCGUCAGUGAACUGCUUAGCAAUAGUGAUACUUCACAUUUUAGCAUAGUACAGCGGAGAAUUAUGCGUCUAAGCUUUUUUUUCUGAAGAGCUACGUGUCUUUAUAUUAAAAGAGAAUAUAAAUAGAAAAACCGGUCUCUUGGAAGCAACCACUCUAGCUCACCUAGGAGAAUAGAGAGAUUGCAGAAAUAAGCGAAUAAAAACAUCGUUACCACACCUUGACCCUGCACGGCUGGACUAGGUACAUGCAUAGAAUAGAGUAGGGCUUGUGGCUAGCCAAACCGUUCUGUGUGUUGAUACUGCAAACUUGUAAUAAAUCACACACAUAUUAUACGUUCAGAUAGAAGAACUAGCAAACAUUACGAUUAUCAUUUCUUUCUGAAACAAAUAUGUUUUGGCUAGUUUCAAAUAUGUUUUUUUAUUUUAUUAGACAUUUAAAACAAUCUGAUUUAAUCUAAAAAUUCAUAACUAAUUAAUUUUAAAUCAUAAAAUAUGAAACUAGUACCCAUCUUUUUCUAGAAUGUUACCUUCUAUGUUGUUUUUUUUUGGGAGUUAUUGGCAUAUUAUUGUUCCCAUCUCUAGUGUUUUAUUGUUUGUAGUCAAACCUGCUAUUUAUUUAUUGUUGUUUUGCAUUGUAUGAUUAUUGGAUGCUAUGCCAUACAAAUCUAAUUGUUCAGAAACCUUAUGCAUCAUGAAGAAAUUAGUGGAUACAAUUAAUAUUGGUACAUUAUGAACUUCCCAUCAAGAAAUAUAUCUAUAAAAUGUUUCAUAUGAAUAUUUUUAAUGCACCUUGAGUUUUUGGAUAAACUUUUUUCAUAAAAGUUAAUUAGAUGCAUUCUUAAUUAAAUAAGCUAUUUGGGUAAUUUUUCAAAAAAUUUUAUUUAAAUAAUAGAAAGUUUAUUUAUUUAUUCUAGAAAGAGUUUCCAACUGGUCUUUAGAGGCCCUUUCGCUUCUGAAAAAGAUUUUAUGAAAAUCUUUUUCCUUUCAUCUUUUUUUUAAGUUUGGGAUAUUGACGCACAUGGGAAAGACCGAUACUACGCUUUUUUUCCCUACAAAUGGAAAAUGAGAUUUUUUUUUUGAGACUCAAAUGGAAAAUGAGAUUGAGUAGUGCUCUUUUUUCCAUAUCGUGCCAUCAGCGGGUAAGAGCAACUCCAACAAUUUUAUCUUACUAUUACUAAUUAGAGACUCCUUUUAAAGUUUCAUGGUGAAAUCACCUAGGAUCCUAGGUGGACACUCUAGAAAAAGAGAUAAAUCCUAAAAAUUCUCACAAAAAGCAAAACAUCUGGCCAUCAAUCAGUAAGCUCAAAUCAUCAUAGCCAUUGGAUCUAUUAUAUUUUCUAAAAGGUUACUCACCUCUGACAUUAUAGAAAAUAAACUAAAGUAACCCCCUAAUAUUUAUCAAAAUUACCCACUUCUGCCAUUAUAAAAAUAAUUUAAAAUAACCUCCUAAAUUUGCAACUAAAUUUCCCACCACUAAUACUUAAAAAAUAACUUAAAAUAACUCUUUAAAUUUGCAUCUAUAUUAUCCACAUAUGCUAUUAUUAAAAAUAACAUGAUGCAACCCUAAAUUUGAAUCCAAAUCACCUUAAUUAAAAAUAUACACCAAAAUAUGAUUCGAAAUCAUCUACAUCUUACACUAUUGGUAUAUGAUAUAAUAAUUAAGGUAUAUACGCAUGGGAAAAUGAUGAAAAAAUAGAUUUCUAUGUUAAAAUUAUAGCUCAAAUGUAGGGUCCAUUAAACAAAUUCAAGCGCAUACUUGCGAUGCAAAGUGAAAAGUUAACGAUUAUAAAAGUGGAUGGAAACAUUAUAGAGUAAUUAUUAACUAAAAUCUAUCAUAAUCAGAUGAAGAUAUAUCUAUAUAAGUAUUGUGUUCGAAUAUUUAACAAGUGAGAGGCAUCUCAAGGUAAUAAUUUUUGUAGUAGUGUGGUCUCAUUUUUUUCCAUAGGAGACUCCGUAUUAGCUCUCACAAGACACGGUAGAAAAAAAGAUAAAUCCUAAAAAUUCUCAUAAAAAUUAGAAACAUCAAACAUGAAUUAUGUAAACUCUAAUAAUCAUAGCCAUUGGUCUAUUAUAUUUUCUAAAAAGUUACUGACAACUAUCAUUAUGAAAAUAUUCUAAAAUAAACCCUAAACCUAUAUCUAAAUUAUCAAGCUCUACCAUAUAAAGAAUAAUCUAAAGUAACCCAUAAUCUUCAUCCAAAUUACUCAUGUAUAUCAUUAUAAAGUAUAACUUAAAGUGGCAUUCUAAAUUUGUAUCUAAGUUACCCACGUGUAUUGUUACAGAAAAUAAUCUAAAGUAAACACAUAAAUCGUAAUCUAAUUUCUUCAUGUGCAUCAUAUAGAGAUGUCCAAAAGUAAACUAAUACAUGGUUUUAAAUUACUUAUUUAUGUCAUUAUUAAUAUAUAAAUACUAAGUUAAGGUAUGUAUGCAUGAUGGGUGUCACCAUGUAGACCAUUUAUACAUGUUGUGAGGAAGUAAUGUGAGUUUUAUGCUAAAUGCAAUGUAUGGAGGUGCCAUACAAAAUGAGAAAAGUGUGAAUGUGGAUGAAAAAUUGUGUGGAGUUAUUACUAAUUAAAAAUCAAUUAUGACUCGAUAAAAAAUAAGUACACGUCUAUAUGGGUGUUAUGUUGGAGUGUUGAAAAAAAUGAGAGAGUAGUAGGUAGACAAUUUUGAUUAUUUAGCUAAGAGUUUAAUUUCUAAAUAAUUUCAAAUACGAUAGCUUUUAAAAAUAUUAGCCCAUGCGGGAGCACGGCUUAAUGGACUAGUAACACUUAAAUCAAAGCUCCUCAAUAGGAGUUAUUUUUUGAGGGUUAAAAAAAAACAUCUAACUAUAGCAAUAGCCUUCAAAUCAGAAUCUCCAAAGGUCAAAUAGGAAUUAUUUUUUUAGCCAAAAAAUACAUCCAACUCCAGCAAUAGGCCCCAUGGAAAGAGCCCAGUGACUAUAUGUCGCAUAUGUGAUUAUCGCCUACUUGCGACAUAUAGUCGCUGCUAGACGGGACCCACAGGACACCUCCGCCUCCGCUUUCUUCCUCCUACCGCUGCAGCGCCGCCACCAUGAUUCACCGUCAGACGGUUAGGGUUUGGGGUUUCGGGGCUUUGAGUUCUGGGUUGUCGGUAACAGGGAGUUGUGUAACAUCCCACUUUUUAGAGCAUUUAGAAGUACGGACUUUUCAAAAAAAAUUCUUAAAACUAAACAUAAUCUUUUUCUUUAUAUUCAAAAUCAUUUUAUAAACAAACCCUUCAUUAACCCACAUAUUUGUUGCACUUGGUUGCUCUUUUAGCACCUCCCUUCUAAAUCCCAGAGAUAGAAUUUCUGAAUCUUUCAUUCCUUCAAACCCUAGAAAUAAUAUUCAAAACCCUUUGAAUACUAGUUAUAUCCAAAGCCCUAUAAAAUUUCCAUCUCAUCUUAGACAAACAUUCCUAAAUCAAGGAUCCUACCAAAAGCCCCAUUUUUAUAUCCUAUCCAAGCCCACACCUUCUUUUGUAUUUAGAUUUGAAAACUAUUUCAAAUUUGAAUACAAAUCCCUUUAAACAUCCUUCAAAUAAAUAACCAAAGCCUCUAUUCCCUAACCAGGCCGUCAACUUCGUAUUCAGCCCACCAUCCAUAUCGGAACGGCUCACAACCCAACUCUCCCCCACUUGCAGCCUAUGUAUGCUCGGCCCGAAUCGCCUUCUCCCAGCCAAGCACCCAUCCCUCCUCCUAGUCCACCGACGCGCGGUCAGCACCGCUGCUGGCCGGCACCCCUUCCCCCGAUGCCUCCAUGCCGCGUCACAGUGCCGCGUUUACGUGCCACCGCGAUGGUUAACCAUGCCAGGAGCAUCUCCCCCGCCCAGUUUAGCUCCCAAGAAACCCUCUCCCUGACACCAUAUCAGCACCAACCCAUCUCGACGGCCACCUCACCCAACCACAAUUAAUGCUACCACCAAUCAUCCCCGGCCGGUCUAAUCCGACCGCUGUGCGCCUCCCUUCUCUCUUCCUUCGCAGCCUAAGCAACAUAUGCGCAUCGACGUGGCUGCCUUCCCUCAUCCGCUGCCCCCUGCCGCACCUAUCCAAGUGGACCGCGGUCUAACGCCAUCGGUCCCGCCGUCCCCUCGCCUACCUCCCCACCACAUGCUCCCAGCUCAUGAACACCGUAGACACACCCCGCACCCUGGUCCACAGCCCAAGUCCACUGGUCUACCGCACUGUGACUGUCGCCCCCGCCCGCUUGCACUAGCCGCCUCUAAAUUGUUAUACGCACCCAACUUUUGUACACCAGAAGCUACUUCAAGCCCUUAACCACCUCCAAAAAUUCACAAAAAAUCCCAUAAAAUCCUAGAAGCCUAUGCAUGCCUUUCUUUCCUAUAGUUUACCUCAUAUGAGUCCCUUUUCUAUCUUUUACUAUGACCUUAGAGCCCAACCAUAUUAGGAAUAUGCCACACCGCCUCCACCCGCUGUCGUGACCUAACCCCUAGGUGUUAGGCCGGGUCGAAGUUAAGUGCGCCAUGCGGCCUCUAGCCACCUUUCCUACAUCGUUAACAACACUGGUUGCCUAUUCCUCGCUGCCCUAUCGUCGUCGCUAACCCAUAUCGUUGCCGCACAUCUGCUUGACCUUGCCCAGCCCCACCUUUCGCCGUAUGACUAUCCCCUUGCAUUGAGUCAUGUUGAAGCGAUGACCAUUAGGCAAGCUCUCAAAUUCUACUUUUACGAAGCUUGCCGACCUCCACCCGCCGUAGGGUCGAGCCUGGGACAAAGCCAAGCUCACCGUGCAAGUUUCCUCACCCUAAACUCCAUUCCCACCACCUAGCAUCAAAAACACAUCUAAGGUCAAUCCUAGAACCUAGCCGAGAUGCUGCCCGACUAAAACCUCGUACCAUGACCUGAUCUAGCCGUUAUGCUGCCCACUCAAAAUCUCAUCCCUGAUAAAAUCCAGCCAUUAUGCUGCCUACCUAAAACCCCAAGUAACGCCCAAACCUAGCCGUAAUGCCGCCUGACCAAAAUCUCAAUUAUCAUCCAAACCUAGCCGUUGUGCUACUCGACCAAAACUCUAAACGACUCUAGGGAAUUAAUCAUUAAAUUCCCUAGAAUUUUCUGGAAAUCCAACCACCCAACCCAUUAAUUAUUUAAAGGGUUUCUAAAUAAUUAAUGGAUUAUCCUUCGAAUACCCAGGAAUUCACCCUUAAUUGUCAGGUAAUUCCCAGAAUAUUCAUCCUUUUCCUUUCUUUUCAUUCCUUAGGAAUUGAUUGGUGUAUGUUUUAUUGAUUAUUAUUUUAUGCGCUUUUACGAGCCGGUAGACUACUAGGCUUUGCUCAAAGCUAAGGAUCCAGAUGGCUCAAAGUCGAGAACCCUGGUCGCCCUAGAAGAUGUUAAGGAUAUCCGAUGAAGGCAAAUCCCAACCCUUAGCUUAUGUUUUAUCCUAUUGAGUGUGAGUAAUAAUAUGACCAACCUAAUAUGGACUACAUAGUUUUAGAAAUAUUUCUUUAUAAUACCUGCUUGCUAGAUUUCUCCCAUUUUUUCUAUUGAAAUGCCACAUUGUUGACGCUUAUUAUUGACAUACUUUUACCCCUGUUUAUCUUCAAUGAUGACAUGAAUUUAAUACCUAAACUAUUGAUCACACCUAAUAAACUGGUCAUUUUUAUAUGUGCAAUAUAUUUUGGAGGAUAUUCUGUUUUUGCAGAAAAUUGGACCUAAAGGUACAUUUUUGGAUAAAGCCUAAAACAAGCAACAAACCACAUGAAGAUGAAGGCCAGCGGGCCCAUGAAGGGCCUAGGCCGAUCGGCCUAUAGUAGCCUAGGCCGAUCGGCCUAGGGUCUCCAGGCCGCCUCUCGAGCUUCUUUUUGGCAAGCAAUCCGCCAAGAUGACUGAAGGCUAAGUUUAUGAAGAUAUGGCAAGAAUUAGUUUGGGAUCAAAGAGGAUCAAGCAGAGAUUUAGAAAGUUAUGAGGGAUCAAUCUCAUCCCAACCCACCCAGGCCUAUUGGCCUAGGGGUUUCCUUUGCCUUCUCACCUUCCAAUUUUUGCCACGUCCUCUCCAAACUAUAAAUACCCCAAAAAUCCACAUAUAAAAGACAAUGUACUCGACGUGAAGCAUCAGAGAAGUAGAAGGAGCUUGAGGGACACCUCUUCGGAGAGCCGAGGGCUGUACAGUUAUCUAGUGGUCCGCGUGAUCACUGUUGGUAUAAUUAACGAAUGCGAAUAAAUCCGCAAGCGCAUGGAUACCAUUGUAGCUUUCACCUCAGAGUAUUCCAAGGGUAUCAAAUCCAAGGGAACGUGUGUGUACUAACUGCUAUUCUAGUCGGUCCAAGGACACAUCAAGAUAGGUGGUGAGGGUAGAGAGGUAUCCUAAGGUAGUAAUAUAGGUGAGUUAAAGGUCGAUCUCUCGAGUCAGAAUACUCACUUCAGGCAUCGGCUUACCCUGAAUGAGUCAGGCACCUCCGGCCAACAGCUCCACCAUAUAUCCAAACAUGGAGGAUGACAAAGGACUAAUAGGGCUGUCACCACCUACGGCCUACCUCUGCGGCUCGUGGGAUAUACGGCCAAUGAAGGAUCGCCCUUAGCCUAGACACCACAUCUACACUAUUGAUUACUACUGCAGCCUAACUACGUUUGAAUCCCCAUAGCAGAAUACAAUACUCUAUAUAAAUAUAGAGCGAUGAAUCCGCAAGUAAGAGAACUGAUCUCACUCAAGUACAGAUACUACUAGUGUAUACUAUAUCAAGGUCUAAAGGUAUACAUGAUAGCAUACAAGCCUAUACUCUGAUAGCAAGGGCAUAUGACUAGCAUACAAGCAUAUAAGCUAAGCAUAUAAACAUAGCAAUGAUAUGAGACUACUCACGCAUAUAAGAACCAAAUAUAACACUAUAGGAAGGAAUCACGAACACUAACUUACUUUACUCAGGAGGUAGCCAGCAUCUGUAGAGGUACAAGCUAGGAGGAGAGUGCCAACACCCCGGCACUCCUCCCGAACUACCCCCUCACUUUCUCCCUAUUCAAAGCACAAGCUAGGCAAGGCUUUGCCUUUGGAGUGAAACACUAAUUCUCUAUUGAAGCCCCCCCUCUACUAUUUAUAGAGUGGAGGUGCCUUGGGAGAGUGGAGAUGCUCCAAGAAUCUCAAGGGAAUAUUCUUUCUCCAACCUCUCUCCUUGUGCCACCUAGCAGGAUCCGAGGCUUUGAGGUGGUAACUCCCGACGAAACAGUCAUAACCGCCUUUAGGAAGUCACCAGGAGCCGCCGUGUGGAAGCUGCGCACGAGGGGUGCCACCACUGGUUCGGCUGAACCCCAGGCACCGCCUCUCACGCCGCCCUUUGUCUGGGAGGUUGCCUGGUGGGCCCUCAAGUUGGUGCAAGGUGCACGCACCAAAUUAAGGUGGUUUACCCCCUAAUGUGAGCCCAUGGAUCCGUGUGCUUUUCUAUGAUUGUCUGGAGUUGUGUUUCUUUGCCGCUUGGGUGUGUUUCCUCCUCCUUUCUAAGGAUAAGUAACCUGUAUACAAAUAUUCACCAAUACUUGUGGAAAUGGUUAGUAAUAAACCCCUACCACUAGUUUGAUGCUCAUCUUUCCGAUAUUUAUGCAGUUGUUGACGGCCUAGAAUUGGCACUUAAGAGCCAUCAACAAUCACCCUGCAAGGAAGAUCCAUGCCAGAGUUUUGGCUAGGAGUCAUCAAGAUCAAUGUAGGAUCCCGGUAGUGAUCUUGUGAUGUACAAUCAUUUAUAGUGAAGUAAUAGAUGUGUUCAUAUUUUUAGCGAUCUAAGUAUCUCCUUCGAUGGUUUUAUGCUCUUUUGGGUUUACUUACUUUUCAAUCUAUGAAUCAAUUAUAGGUUGCUUAGGGUGUUCUUGUGGUCGUGGUGAUCGGAUUUGCAUGCCUGAUCUACCGAUGAACAUGUUCUUUUGAUCGUGCCCUUAACCUACUUGCGCUGAUAAAGGUGAUCAUGAUAGGAUCUUUUUUGUGUAAGGUGGGUAGGGAGUUUUGGGAUCCGAACUGGAGGUGUAGAUUUAAACAUACUUUUUACUAGGAUCAUAUCUAUGUUUCUUUGCUAUCCAUGCUCAGAAUUACAACAUAUGCAUAGUCUAGGUUGCUCUAGAUUGGUUACCUCUGCUCUAUCUGUUAUCUGUAUGUACAUGUGUGACGACCGGCCUCAAAUCUUCCAAGUUAAUCUUAAUCCGAGCCCCUGAUCACCAGUCUUAGCUUUCCAAGCCUAAGUGUUCAACCUCCCGACCGGUCCCGACCCCUCCCCGCUUGUCUCCAGUUCCGACCCCGCAAAACCCAGCUCACCGUCGGAUCCUUCUAAGUCCUUCCCAAAACGUCCGUUCUAUCUGACCGGUGGACCCACGAGAUCUUUUUCCCCUAGAUCUUCCGCGACAGGCGCACUCGAGUUGCAUGCCCGCUUCAGAGUUUCCCCGUCGCGUGGCUCAACUUCUCCGACGCCCGCCGCUCAGCCUCGUCUCUGGCCCGCGACCGAAUGGAUUCUCGCGCCCCCUUCCCCAAUUGCAGCGGAAGCCCGUUUGCAACCUUUCUGCAACACCUCGCCUCCCGCGCCCAUCAUCACGUCGCCAGAUCCCGAUCGCAGAGCCCGAUGUUGCCCAUCUUUUCCGUCACUUCAACACAGUCGCGCCGCCUCGUCUUCGCUACCCGAUGAUUCCUCCUCCGCCAACCCUGACCACGGCAGCGACAGCUCCUUUCCCCACCCUGUCAGAAGCCGCUCGACAAUCUGUUGCUCCGCGCUCGCCUGCGCGCCCGCGGCUGCCCGUCUUCUCACCUGUGCGCCCUCGUUUCUAGUGCCGUUAACCCGGUCACUUCCAUCAACUCUACCGCACGACGACACCCGCCUCCGCCAAAUCUCAACCACCGGCAUACCCGCUCCUGCGCCGCCCUGACGCCAGAGCCCAAUGACCGCUGGCGUCAUCCCCGAAGUUCUGCACCACCGCCCUCGUCGCUCAAUCGCCGCCUAGGCAGAGCACUCCACUGCUUCUUCCCCGGCCUUCGCGCCGCUCCUCUUCUCACUCCUGCGCCGCUUCCCUUCUCCCUUCCUAGCCGCUAUAAAAGGGAAUGCGCGAGCCCCGCCGGAGUUCCCUCUGCCAUCACUGCCUUCCGCCAUUUCUCUUGCUCCCUGCUCGAGCUCCCAGCGCCACACACUAAGUUACUGAGGAACUCUCCUCUCCGCUCCACUCCGUUUUCCCCAAACCAUCCAACCGCUUGCUCCUCCGUGCUGCGUAAGAGCUCACUUGUGAUCCACAAGAAGCACCGCCGCCGCCGGAGUACUGCCGAACCCAGCUGUUGUUCAAAGCCUUAGCCCUCCGCCCAAGCCUGUUUCUUCCCGACCCCAACCUUUCCUUGUAGGAAGAAGGUAAGCUGCCGACCCCUGGUCCGCCUCGUCCGACCUCUGUCCGCUUCACCCGACCCCUCUUAUCCGCCCGACCCCGGUUCCGUCUCACCCGACCCUGUCUGUUCCGCCGACCCUUCUCCGCCUCGCCCGAGGGCUCGGCUAUAACCUUUUUCUUCAAACCAAGGGUGUAUGUGUAAAACUUGGGAACCCUUCAGCAUUGAGUCUGAGGAUCCCUAGCACACCAAACCCUCUCGUUUAAGGGUCAGAUCAUAUGUUCCUUUCCUCCGACCCUUACCUCUUGAUCUCCACCAGCUCCCUUGAACCUUUCCACCCUCCUGCUUUUUUUGUCGCGAGUUUCUGGGCUCGGACUUGCAAGUGUUGCUGUUGAAAAAAAAAACCGUCUAUACUAACUAAUGCAUUGCAUUCGUGUAGAGCUGCGCCUCGCCGAUGGCUUCUACGAGCUGCACCAAGUGCCAGAAGAUGACGGUGUAGCUGAGCUCCUGCCCUCUGAAGCCGAAGCCGCCCCAGAAGUCGAGCAGUUCUCUUCCUCCUUGCUCGAAGGCAAGCCCCGGUUGCAUGAAAACCCUGUGUUGUUUUACCAGACUUGCGCAUGCCUUCUGUAACAUGCUUGUGCAUUUAUGUAUAGGAGUUGUUUGAAACCCUAGAUGCAUGACUUAGUUGUUCCCAUGAUCUGAACACUAGCUGUUGGACCGAGUAGCUGCUUGCUUAAAUAGGAAGCGGUAAAAGUCGGGUGAUUUUCUGUCACUCGCAAGUUGUAGGAGUUGGUUGUCUACUCUUCUGUUACAACUGUAAGAACGAUGGACGGGGCAGGGUUUUGGGUAACUCUUUGGUGGUCGGUUGAUCGUCCCGUCUAUCUAUGAAACCUGACUAAGGCCCGACAGUGGUGGUGUUCGUGAUCAAGUGUUUGAAAGUACUAACCUCAUACUUAGUAUGGGAUGAGGAAGCCUAGUACCGGAUUGAACCUAGACGUGAGCGGUCACCCCAUUGUUCUUGGAACGGAGUUUCCCCUGCUGGAUGUCGCACGUGGUGGCAUGCGUGGUCACAGAACGGCAGAGGCCAGGUCUGUGGAACCUUGCACCAAAGGAAAUGGGCCCGACACGGGUUAGGGGAUUAAUGGGGAAGGCCGACACAGGAAGCGACCUCCGGGUGCGCGGAUGUCGUGAGGUUAGGUUCACCAUGCAUAGUUAAAGAACUCGAAUCGAUUCGUCUGCCUCUCACAGUUUGAGACUGCUUGAUCGCUAUGUCACCCUGAGUAAAUGAGGAAUCUGAUGAUGACAUGGUUUUGUUGUUAUAUAUACAUACCUUGGUUGAUUCUAUGAUUGUUUAGCAUAGUUGCAAACUUAGACCGGAUAAUGAACUUAGAACCGGAGCUAAAACUUGAAAAUAGGGUUUUACUUAAUGCUUUUGGCAAACAAACCCCUCAGCCAAAAAGCCUUGCAUGUCUAGUUCUGUGGAGUAGCUUUACUCCCUGUCGGUUAAGCCUUGUUGAGCUUAGUAGCUCAGCCUUGUUGUGGCUCCUGUUUUUCAGGUGAAGUUGCUGCUCCCGACCCUUCUCCCGCUAGCACUUGGCCGCCCCAGCUCCCUCCGGGUUGGACGGUCUAGUGGGAUCCCUCCUCAGACGGCGAGGAGAGGGAUCAGUGAUGUCCCGGUUGGCCUCACUAGGGACGUCCGACCCCGACGUUUUGCUUCCGCUAGUGGUUUUACCUUCUGUUGACUUUCUGGAAACCUUGUAAAGCUCUGAUGUUUAUUUCAUAACCAAAUUAAAUGGUUAAGUUGUUAACUCGGUGGACUUGUUGUAGUCUCUGGAAUCGCUCACCUUCGUGUGGGUCUGCUAAAUUGGUCCUGUUCAAGUGGUUAAAUCGGAAGAAAUCCGACGGCACUUCGUGUUUACUCGGCUUAGGCAUGAGCGUCGCGUAUUAUGCGGCUAAAUCAUGUUUAACCAAAUAGAUCCGAAGUGGAUCCGCCACAACAUGCUUAGUAGAUUGGAUCUGAAUCACUCAUCAACACCAAGUUAAUACUAACAAUGCUAGUUGAAAUAGAUCUUGUGCUAUAAGUUCCACAGAUUGAUAAACCUUGGGCGAGUACUCUGAGGGUAGAGCUAAAACUGAUAUGUGCACUUGCGGUUUACAAAUUGGCGUGCUAACAGCUGUCAACACACAUGCCAAAUAAACCCUAGGCAACUACAUUUCCAUAAGCCACCCCAUACCAUAAAGGUGGAUAAAACAUUUGUUGGAUCCUCUAUGGAGAGGAUCUAACAAAAUAUCAUUUUAUAUACAAUAAAAUGCUUAGGAAGGGUUUUUCUCUUUUGGGAAGGCGUGAGUUAAAAGAUAAAGUGAUAAUAAUAGCAACCCCUAGGGUAUGUUUUGGACUUGAGAGUAAGGGGAUGGCCUUAGUGGUGGAUACUCUAUCCCAAAGCUUACUCUGGUCAUAUAAGAACCGGUUCAUUGGGCGAGUCUUUCUUGUGAACUGUACAACCAUACAUGCCAAAAAGGUACAACCUUCGGGAGUACCUAUCUAUGUGAGGUCUUGGUUCAAACCCCACUAGCUGAACCUAGUCAUCCAUCCCAAGGGGUCAAGGUGGGCAAUGGGUAUAUAGGAGCAGGACCUUCGCAUAGUCUUAGAUUCGGUCAACACAGGUCAACUGUUGAGAGGGCUGGAGGCCCUGAUAAUUUAUUCAUGCAUGCAUUUCCCGGGAUAGUAUCCGCAAGGUGGAUGUUAGUGGCCCCCUAUUUAGACCCUAAUAUAUCCAUGGAUGGACCUAGGGAAUGCUGUCCAGAGAUGGACACGGGCGGGUAUGGAUCUCGUAGGCCAGUACCGCCUGAGUACUAGGUGUGGGCUGGCCGGACAUAUGGGGAAAGUGUAUACCUCUAUGCAGAUUAUAAUCUAUUCGAAUAGUCGAGGCUCACGGUCACGAGCCCACUAAGUCAAAGCCCCCUAUGAUUACUCUUUGAAGCUCUUUGGGUGGGAUUAGUGUGUUAAACAUAAUGGAUGAAGUUGAAUGACCGGAUUCCAGAACUAAAACCUAGGGACUGAUAGGGGAGGUAGUUUUCCCCGUCCAGAACCACCACUCCAAAAUUAACAUGCUUUUAGAAGAGUCUUUUCAAUUCUCACCUUUUAAUUCACCUUUAGAUGUAGGAUUAUACCUAUAAAUCAUGUUCCUUAUCCACCUCCUAAAUUGCAUAUAAUUACUUAGUAAAUAUUGGGACUUGCUGAGUAUCAAUCAUAAGUAUACUCAACUUUACUUUCAUCAUGCAGGUGUAGAUCUUCAGGUGUUAUAAACCAUCUUGUUAGUAGAUGGGCACCACUUCGCUGCAUUAAGGUGAAAACAUUUUUUUAUUAAAUUAUACAUCUUUUAUUGCUUAAAAUACUAAGCUAUGAUGAUAAUGGUAUCAGCCUAUUGAUCCAGGAACUAAUACAGGUGAUCAGCGGGACUCCCGAAGGGAGGUCCCCACAGGCUAUCUCCGGUGUGGCUGGGAUAUAGAGGAGGUCGUUGGUGGCUAGGUAGCAAGCGGUGGUGUGCGGGUUGUGUGCGGGACGGCGGGACGCCACCGGCCGCAAUCCGUAGUAGACAACAGGUGGCCUCUGGAGGCGGCGGGGGAGCCACGGCAAGCUCCCCGGCAGGUCCGGGGUAGCGCGGCGAAGGAUGGUGGCGGCGGAUUUGACGGCACGAGCCGCCGGAGAUCGUGGAGGAUGGCAGCGCGGGAGGGGGUGCGACGGUGAUUGAGGGCUGCGACCUGCGGUGGUGGGAACCACCGGAACUGGAGGAGGAAAGAGUCGCGGGAGCAUAGGUUGCGCGCACUCCUAGACCACCAUCACCGAAGGCGACAUCAGUGAUUUUGUCGCCUUCAGUGAUAAAUAGACGCGCCCUAGAUAGACCUCCGAGAAUGGAGGGUAUUUCGAGGGCUUCUCAAAAUAGGAAACCUAGUAUAUUUUUAAUUUGGUACUCGUCAACAACUAUUACUCUAUUAGCAUCUUUUAAGAUAACACUGAAAUAUGGUAGUCUCCUACUUUAUGUGCAGUGUCGUUGCGUCAAAUACGUGUGAGGUCGCGGACCUGAGCCUCAGCCGCUCAGGCCCACGGGCACAAAAAGACUCGAAUUGCCGUGUUUGACGGAGCACUGUGGGACUUCUGCUGUGCUGUCCGGUCUCUGGUGACCGUUAGAUUAGCGAACUGACCCCGAACCCGUUGAUUAGCGAUGCAGUCAAGAGCAAAAAUCGAUUCCUCUAACUGCCAUCAAACCAUAUUAUUCACUGGUGGUUUGAAUCCAAAGUCUUCCAGAGCACCAGCCAAGGUCGGCACGUACUACUAAUCAAAGGCAAUUCGACAGCUUCGCAGCAAGCACCUCCUGCACGGUCUGCUGCCAAAGUGUGCACACCAAAUAAAAGUCUUCUUUUAGACCAGUAGUACCAAAUAAAAGUCCAAAUCCCACGCAGCAAACCGAACGGGGCUCGUGCCAGUCUAACAAAAACUGAGGACUCCCGCUCCCUCCGCAUUUGAUUGCACAAGCAGAUCGUCCUCUUCCUGCGUCCACCUCGCGCCGUGGCGGCCGUGCUGUGCAGGCGUGCACAACCAACGCCACGCCGCGAAAACAAACCGGCCGAGACAUGGACACACCACGCCGCGCGUCCGUGUACCCGCGUAUCCUCGGUCUCGUGCUCGUG